UCUCUGGGCCGUACUGACGCUGAGAGCGAAAGCAUGGGGAGCGAACAGGAUUAGAUACCUGGUAGUCCAUGCCGUAAACGUUGGGAACUAGAUGUAGGGCCUUUCCAGGGUUCUGUGUCGUAGCUAACGCAUUAAGUUCCCCGCUGGGGAGUACGGCCGCAAGGCUAAAACUCAAAGGAAUUGACGGGGGCCCGCACAAGCGGCGGAGCAUGCGGAUUAAUUCGAUGCAACGCGAAGAACCUUACCAAGGCUUGACAUAUCGAGAACGCUGUAGAGAUACAGAACUCUUUGGACACUCGUUUACAGGUGGUGCAUGGUUGUCGUCAGCUCGUGUCGUGAGAUGUUCGGUUAAGUCCGGCAACGAGCGCAACCCUCGUCCUAUGUUGCCAGCACGUUAUGGUGGGAACUCAUGGGAUACUGCCGUGGUCAACACGGAGGAAGGUGGGGAUGACGUCAAAUCAUCAUGCCCCUUAUGUCUUGGGCUUCACGCAUGCUACAAUGGCCGAUACAAAGGGCUGCGAUACCGCGAGGUGGAGCGAAUCCCAAAAAGUCGGUCUCAGUUCGGAUUGGGGUCUGCAACUCGACCCCAUGAAGUCGGAGUCGCUAGUAAUCGCAGAUCAGCACGCUGCGGUGAAUACGUUCCCGGGCCUUGUACACACCGCCCGUCAAGUCAUGAAAGUCGGUAACACCCGAAGCCGGUGGCCUAACCUUUUGGAGGGAGCCGUCGAAGGUGGGACUGGUGAUUAGGACUAAGUCGUAACAAGGUAACCA
rnacentral:rRNA from 1 species